AUACGGCUAAAGUUGACGUCUCCGAAGAUGAAUUGAGAGAUGGGUUGCAGUGGUACCCGGCGACGCGGGCGGUGGCGGUGGCGCGCGGCGCGGUGGCGCAGGUGACGUUCUCGCAGGUGCGUGCGCGCGUGCGCGGGCGCGUGGUGACGCGCGGCGCGGCGGAGGCGCGCGGCCUGCGCCUGCGCCUGCGCCCGCUCGCGCCCGACGGCGGCUACGCGGAGCGCGCGCACGUGCUCACCGCGCUGCCCAAUCACAAGGGCGAGUACGAGUUCAGCGAAGUGGUGGGGGGCAGCGUGGAGGUGUCAGUGGAGGACGCGCGGCUGUGCUGGGCGGAGGCGCGUCACAACGUGGC